AGAAUGAACGUUGGCGGCGUGGAUUAGGCAUGCAAGUCGUACGCUUCAUGUAGCAAUACAUGAAGAGUGGCGUAAGGGAGAGUAAUACAUGGUUAGCUACCCUCGGGACUGGGAUAGCGGCGGGAAACUGCCGGUAAUACCAGAUGAUGUCUUCGGACCAAACGUGUAAACCGGCCCGAGGAGGCGACCAUGUCCUAUCAGCUUGUUGGCGGGUAACGCCACCAAGGCAAAGACGGGUAUGGGCGUGAGAGCGUGCCCCCACUCACUGGGACUGAGACACUGCCCAGACACCUACGGGUGGCUGCAGUCGAGAAUCUUCGGCAAUGGGCGCAAGCCUGACCGAGCGACGCCGCGUGCGGGAUGGAAGGCCUUCGGGUUAGUAAACCGGCUGGUCCGGUAGGGGGAAGGAAGGCUCCGGUGUAGGAACGGAGUUUGACCGAUCCGUGGGAAGGAAGGCCGCUAAUCUCGUGCCAGC
rnacentral:rRNA from 1 species